AUGAACGCUAGCGACAGGCUUAACACAUGCAAGUCGAGGGGCAGCACAGGUAGCAAUACCGGGUGGCGACCGGCGCACGGGUGAGUAACGCGUAUGCAACUUGCCUAUCAGAGGGGGAUAACCCGGCGAAAGUCGGACUAAUACCGCAUGAAGCAGGGGCCCCGCAUGGGGAUAUUUGCUAAAGAUUCAUCGCUGAUAGAUAGGCAUGCGUUCCAUUAGGCAGUUGGCGGGGUAACGGCCCACCAAACCGACGAUGGAUAGGGGUUCUGAGAGGAAGGUCCCCCACAUUGGUACUGAGACACGGACCAAACUCCUACGGGAGGCAGCAGUGAGGAAUAUUGGUCAAUGGCCGAGAGGCUGAACCAGCCAAGUCGCGUGAGGGAUGAAGGUUCUAUGGAUCGUAAACCUCUUUUAUAAGGGAAUAAAGUGCGGGACGUGUCCCGUUUUGUAUGUACCUUAUGAAUAAGGAUCGGCUAACUCCGUGCCAGCAGCCGCGGUAAUACGGAGGAUCCGAGCGUUAUCCGGAUUUAUUGGGUUUAAAGGGUGCGUAGGCGGCCUUUUAAGUCAGCGGUGAAAGUCUGUGGCUCAACCAUAGAAUUGCCGUUGAAACUGGGGGGCUUGAGUAUGUUUGAGGCAGGCGGAAUGCGUGGUGUAGCGGUGAAAUGCAUAGAUAUCACGCAGAACCCCGAUUGCGAAGGCAGCCUGCCAAGCCAUUACUGACGCUGAUGCACGAAAGCGUGGGGAUCAAACAGGAUUAGAUACCCUGGUAGUCCACGCAGUAAACGAUGAUCACUAGCUGUUUGCGAUACACUGUAAGCGGCACAGCGAAAGCGUUAAGUGAUCCACCUGGGGAGUACGCCGGCAACGGUGAAACUCAAAGGAAUUGACGGGGGCCCGCACAAGCGGAGGAACAUGUGGUUUAAUUCGAUGAUACGCGAGGAACCUUACCCGGGUUUGAACGCAUUCGGACCGAGGUGGAAACACCUUUUCUAGCAAUAGCCGUUUGCGAGGUGCUGCAUGGUUGUCGUCAGCUCGUGCCGUGAGGUGUCGGCUUAAGUGCUAUAACGAGCGCAACCCUUGCCACUAGUUACUAACAGGUAAAGCUGAGGACUCUGGUGGGACUGCCAGCGUAAGCUGCGAGGAAGGCGGGGAUGACGUCAAAUCAGCACGGCCCUUACAUCCGGGGCGACACACGUGUUACAAUGGCGUGGACAAAGGGAGGCCACCUGGCGACAGGGAGCGAAUCCCCAAACCACGUCUCAGUUCGGAUCGGAGUCUGCAACCCGACUCCGUGAAGCUGGAUUCGCUAGUAAUCGCGCAUCAGCCAUGGCGCGGUGAAUACGUUCCCGGGCCUUGUACACACCGCCCGUCAAGCCAUGGGAGCCGGGGGUACCUGAAGUCCGUAACCGAAAGGAUCGGCCUAGGGUAAAACUGGUGACUGGGGCU
rnacentral:rRNA from 1 species